ensembl:snRNA U4 U4 spliceosomal RNA
AGUUUUGCGCGGUGGCAGUAGCCAAUGAGGUUUAACCAAGGCACAAUUAUUGCUCAUUGAAAACUUUUCCCAAUACCCCGCUGUGACAACUUGUAAUAUAGUCAGCAUUAGCAAUUUUUGACACUCUAUGGAGA